GCGGAUGUGGCGGAAAGGCAUACGCAGCGGAUUUAAAAUCCGCCGGGGAGACCCUUAGGAGUUCGAAUCUCCUCAUCCGCACCA
rnacentral:tRNA from 1 species